rnacentral:rRNA from 1 species
UACGGAGGGUGCAAGCGUUAAUCGGAAUCACUGGGCGUAAAGCGCUCGUAGGCUGUUUGGUCAGUCAGACGUGAAAGCCCGCGGCUCAACCGCGGAACUGCGUUUGAUACUGCCAGACUUGAGUGUCGGAGAGGGUGGCGGAAUUCCGGGUGUAGGAGUGAAAUCCGUAGAUAUCCGGAGGAACACCAGUGGCGAAGGCGGCCACCUGGACGACAACUGACGCUGAGGAGCGAAAGCGUGGGUAGCAAACAGGAUUAGAUACCCUGGUAGUCCACGCGGUAAACGAUGGAUGCUGGGUGUCGGGGGUUUACCUUCGGUGCCGCAGUUAACGCGUUAAGCAUCCCGCCUGGGGAGUACGGUCGCAAGGCUGAA